rnacentral:lncRNA from 1 species
ACUGAAACCGAAACGUGCUCACAAAAUAUAAAAAAUUAAACUAUCUAAAGGAGAAACUUGAAAGUAAAAACUACGAAUGUGACUAUGGAGUCUUUAGGCGUCCCUUUCGUCGUCCUCCUGCGGAAUUGGCUCGGGAACGAUGUCCUCUUGAUCUGAAAUGAUUAAAUAAGGAAUGAGCCACAUUAGUCCAAUAAAGACAUCACGAUAUUUCACCGUCACGGAG